GAAAGCUUUGAGUCGUUGCCAACUGCUAUUGUAAAUAUUUAUUAAGAGGCUGUUUCCAAGAACUGAGGAAGCUUUAUUCUAUUGCUGUUGUCGUUGUUUUUUAAACCUUAAAAAAGUGCUUAUUAUCCAUGUGUUUUUGGUAACAUGAAAAUUACUAUUUACGCUGAAGAUAAAUAAUUUGGGAUGAUUUGAAAAUAAAGGAUGUAGAAUGGAAGAAAUAUAUUGAACUAUCUAUUGAACCCUAGGAUGUUUGAGCUGGAAGUUACUUGGUUGAAGAUCUAGACCAAUCUAGUUGAAACCAGGAUUGCUCAACCUAACAGCAUCCUUGGUCUGUAUCCACUAGACGCCAGUAACACCCCCCCCCCUAAGUCAUGACAAAAUGUCCCAAAUAUUGCUAAAUGUCACCAAAUGAGAACUACUGGUCCAAAUCCUUUAUUUUAGAGAUGAAAAAAGAAGCUCAGAGAGGUAAGUGAUGGGCCUUACAUUACUCAGCUGGUUAGGAGUAGAUCCUGAAAUAGCAUCCUUCAUCUUUUACUGCCUCUUCUUGGGUUCUUUCCACAGAGACUGCCGCCAAACUUCCUGGAUAAUAUUAGUUAGCCACUCAAUCCCAUUUGCAUCAGAGCCAUGGGCUCAGACCCUCAAAAUAAUGCAGCUUCUAUUGAAAAACUCAAGCUCGGCAAGCUCAUGCUCUUUGAGCGGUCUCCAAUUCACUUAAGAACUAAGAUUUUUGUGAAAUUUCAAUGAUACACAUUGAGUUGAUUCUAAGUAACCGAAAUAUUCCUUCCAAGCUCACAUUUUCUUUCGGAGAAAGUAUCUGUUUUUCUCUCCAUUUCCUUUACUUGUGCUAAAGCAGAUGUCUUGAGCCAGUCCCAGAGGAUUUUUGUUUACUCGAUCAUUUUCCGUGGGACCGGCGACUAGGUGACUGAAUCCUUGCCAAACGGUAAAUAAAUCCAUAAACAACUUUUGUUCAUUGAUAAUUGGGUGUAACAUAUGCAAAGUUAAAGUUCACUUCGUAAAAACAUUUGGUUUUAUUUGAGGUCUUUUCUUCUGGUCAGUACCUUCAGACAUCUAGGUAAAAAAAAGAUAAUUCACAUUUCGACAUCCUAAGGUCCUGUCAUUUGCCUCUUAUUUAUAAUGUUGACAAAUAAGUAAAGGAGACAGCCAAAGGUGAGUGAAACCAGGCUCCAGAAUGUUCUUCCUCAGCGAUUGUACCACCAUGAACCAGCCCUUCCUGGUUGGUGACAGGCUCGCUUGCUCACAGGUUGCCCAGGGUCACUUGGCAGGCCUGCCUUGGAUUCCAACUCUACAGAGCUGUUGUCACUGAGUCCAGCAGCUUGUGGUUGGAAAAGACCCCCUGAGCCAGCAAAAGGCCAGUGACAUUCCAGCUCAACUCCAAUUUAUGUCAGUGUGCCAGUGACGAAAUUCACGUCUCUCCCUCAGCCCUGCCGGUUGUCUGUGUGACAGGGCAAAUCCUCGCUGACAGCCAGUGCCAGCAGCCGCAGCAGGUGCGUCUUCUUGCCCUUUGUUGAAAUGGCCUGCAGCUCCGGGAGAUAGCUCGGGAAUGCUGCUGACGCCAUCCGGGGACUCAGCACCCUCACCUGCUUACGCUCCAACUCUGCCGGUCUGGAAGAGGAACUGUGUUUCCAUAUUGUGAGAUGUUCUCAUUGCACCAGAUGCUGAGUUUUGUGCUGGCUUUGUGCAGAACCCAGAAAUAUCCAUCGUCAAAUUGAAAGCUGCGGUAGAAACAAAAUCUGGUCAAUGCUGUGUCGUCGGGACAUCGGGAGGCCCCACAGAACACCAAUCUCUUUCGUCUAAAUUACUGCAUCUUCUGAUUGUUCCCAGAUUCGUGCUGUGGUUAAGUCUGUGUGGGCAAGUCCUAUCUCCUGGUCGCUUUUCAUGUGCUGCACAGUACAUGACGUCGCAGCGUGGGAUAGCAGAAAGACAGCGAGUCUGAAUUCCAUUCCUGCUCUGAUAGUUUUUAUGAGUUUGGCAGAAGAGCCUCAAGGAGAAUGAACAAAUGUCAACCCGCGCAGAAGCCCACACACCAAAAGAGAGGAGACCUUGGGGAGGGGGAGAAAAUGAAGUGAUUUAAUGAUCUGAACGGCUGGGGGAAGGAGGGGGCAGGUUCCCCCAAAUCCAGAAUUAAGGCAUCCUUCUGAGAGUUGUCUGUGCGCUCCGGGCAAGUGCAGAGAGUGGUGCAGAGUGCAGAGAAUCCAAUCCUGAAUUUCCAAAAUGCUGUGAUGGCGUGGCCUCUGGGCUAAAGUAAGGACGACUAAAUCGUCUUCCCAACCCCGUGGGCGCUGGACUGGCCCUCCUCCCGCCGCACUCCCAUAUCUUCCAGGCAGUCGCACACACCUUGGCCCUUCUCCAGGUGGAUGACGGGAGCAAAGAGUGCUGACGGGGACCGGCCAGCCGGAAGAAUGCUUUUGUUAUUGACCUUGACACCUUCCUUCCCAAAUAAGAGGUUAUGACGCAUCCUCGUGGCAUUUUAGUCCUUUCUUGAGAGCUUACCUCAGUGUAAUUUUUCACUUUUUUGCAUGUGAUCAUUGUCUAUUUCCCACUGGUCUGAGGUUCUCUGAGGGUAGAGGGCAACUGCUUUCUUUUUUUUCGUGUCAUUCUGUCCUCGUGUCUACAUAUUAAGCUCUCAAAAAAUAUUUAUUGUCUGAUAACUAAAGGAAUAAUUUAAUCUACUCUCUUACUCAGACAUUGGCUAUUAUGGAUAAAAAUUUUGAAUAUAAGUGAAUAAAUACAUUUAGCUAAAACUAUUUCAAAUUUAUUUAAUUUACAUUUAAAGCUGGCUAAAAAUGUAAAACAUUUCGAAUUAUGAAUAAGCCUCAGUUUGAAUAUGUAACUAGGAUUUCUCAAGGAGUGAAACAAAAAAAUUUUCAAAACUCUUAAGGAUGUAAGUUUAUAUAUUAAAAGUUUAUAUAUUCAUCAUACGGCAUAUUUUAUUUUCAAAUGCAUGGUUUCAUCUUAUUUCAUAAGUAGAUGUUGAGCCCAGUCCAGUUUGGGAUCUAGUCUGAACUGACUCUCCUUCUAAUAGGGGAAUUGAGCCCGUUCACGUUAAAUAAAGUAAGAGUUGGGAUGGUAGAAUGCAAUCAAAGAUUGGCUGUCUUCAGUUUAAAGAAAAAGAUAAAGAUUUUGGAAGUUAUGAGAGCCUGAUUCUACCAGUAUUUCCCAUUGCUAAGGCCAAUUACCUCCCAGUUCAGGCGGAGUUCUCAGCACCUUUGAAGUGAGUAAUGGCUUUCAGCCCCAACAGCUGCCCUGCAAGAGACAAUUCCCCUCCCUCUGUCUUUUCCCUCCCACCUCCAGACACUCAGACUUCAUACUGUCAUCCUGUUAUCACAAUGUGUGCUCAGGAAAGGACACCAUCUGCCAGCAUCCAGUGUGAUCAGCUGAUAAGCUCUAUUUCUCUGAGAUUUACAUUUAAGGCAUAGGAGGAAUUAUGAAAUAAACACCUUUGCUUCCAAAUAAAGCAUUUUCAGGAUCCAGUAAGAGAUGUUUUUGAGAUUAAACUACGGCUACAGCUUAGCAUACUGAUACUUUUUAACCAAACAUUUAUAUUAUGACUAUUUCCAAAUAAUUAAAUAUUCUUUGAAUACGAGAUUCCAGAUAUAGAUAUUUUAAUGGAUGGCCUCCUUCUCCCAAAUGGAGACUUAGUAAGAAUCCAUUUAGUUGACUCCAAAAAUGGGAAUCAAGUUUUAUUUUCCCAUAAACAAGAUGCAUAGCAUCUGACUAGUGGAAAUAUGCCUUAGAGAACCCUUCACAGAUGCCGUCCAGCUGGGGUGCUUAUCAGAAAAUGUUACAAGGAGGACAGACUUUUCCCCCAGGUCUUUAGGCAAGAUGCAGCCAGAGCACUUAGCACAGGGAAUUCUGUUUGGUUAUUAGUCAAUAGAAUGAAAUUCCUGAUCUCUAUAAUCAGCUGUUCACGCAAAACAGGGAAGGGUUUGAGCGUAGAAUGAGAUAAAUCUUUCCCUUUGGCUAUGUCCUCUGUCAAAUUAGAGUCGGAACAAAAUGUGUCGGCACUGUUUGGAUGAUCCAGAUAAUUGGCAACGCUGAAAUUAUGGGAAAAAACCUACUUUUGUGUUAUCAUUUUAUACAACAAUGAAAUUGUCAAAAGGACAGCAGCUUUGUAUAGGAAAUAGAGAAUAGGUUCAUGCAAUUGGAAUGACCAGAGUGAGUGGAGAAACGUUCCAACAGAAUUGUAGAAAAGACAAAGUCACAGAACAUUUUUAAGACAGAAGCAAAGUCUUUUAAUAUUAAAUGUAUCCUAAUGAUCUUUAAUGCUUUCUUUAGCAUAGACUUGACUUGUGAUUGUAUUUUUUGUCUACAAGCACUAUUAAAUGUGGUUUAGAGACGUGCAAAAUUCACACGUGUUGCUCUGUUUAGAACCACUCUGACUACCCAUUAACGGCGUUAUUUUAUUUAACAAUCAACCUCUGCCUUAGUAAGGUUUGAUGUUGGUUUUAGCUUUUAAAAUACUCUCUUUUCCCUCUCUGCUUCCUCCCUCCCUCUUUUCUAUCUUUCCAUGUAAUUUAGGGGAAAAAAGUCCAGAUAACUCAUGCUUUCUUGGAAGGGAAACAACAUGUGAUAGAGAAGACGUCUAUCAAACUCAUGCCCUAUCGGGGGAAUAAAGUCCAUCAGAAAGUGUGCUCAAAUCUCAUUAUUGAGGCAACUUCCCGAAGGCACCCACCCUUGUUGGAGAUGUAGAGAAACAAACUCCCACACCUCCUGCAAGAACUGGCACUGACUGUAUUUAGAGCUUUCCUCGAAUCUUUCUGCAAAUGGAUUCACCAAGGCACUGGAAAGGUCUAUUCCAUAUCUGGAAAACUCCAGCUAUUUGUAUAAACCAUAACUUUUUUUUAACAAAUGGUCAAAGUGUACUUUCCUCUUAUUUCUGUUUUUGUAAUUAGCUCCAUAAAGAAGUUAAGAAAGGAACUAGCAACAUUCUUUUAACACUUCAAGAAAAUCAGAGGAGAGAGGGACAUAAAGAGAAGGAAAGAAAGAAAGUGAGGAGAAAUGCCUGUUUUGGGGAAUCUGAUCAAAGUUCAGUGGUUAAAACAAUUCCCUCCAUGUGGCUUGGCUAAAUACACUUGCAGAUUUUGCAUUCUUCGUAUCCUUCUGACUUUGGGCCUCAUGAAUUCUCCAUCCUCCAUUCUUUCAGCUGAAUUUUCCCUUCCACUUGCAUUUCUCACCUUUGGAGCCUCUUUGCAAAAGUUGCCCACGAAUAAAAGGUCCACAUUACCCACAAGGAUAUCAACUCAUAUUGUCUAUACCCAGAAAUAUGGGAAAGUUCCUGGAGACAAUAUCUAUGAUAAGAAUAAAGACUGUACUCUGCUUUCUUCAAAACAGAGUAGAAGGAUCGGGUUCAAUUACAAACAUAUUUUAAGAAAAUUUAUAAAAAGAUGGCCAUCAAGAUAAAAACAUAAUCAGAAAAUCAAGUAAGAAUUUUGUGGUAUUUAAUAGGCCAUCAAAUUCCAAGCCCAAGGAAUUCCCCUUGAUUAAUCCUGAAACACAAUAUUUCCUAGAAAACUAGGAGUAGCGGAGGCCUUUCCAACCUUGCCUGCCUGCAGCUGUGUCUCUGAGAGUCAGCCUUGCUGAGCGGCCAACAGGCCAUGUGCCCCGCCCGCGUGACCACAGCUAACUGGACCAGAUGUGGAUGCCUGACGAAAGCUUUGCAGAUACUCUUUUCGGUGAAUAUGAAAUUAGAACUCAGGCCGAUCAAGCUUUCCUUGAGUUCUUGGUCUGGUAGGCCUUAUAGAUGAGGUGGACACUUCUGCCAUGUGGAUAAAGUGAACUAAGCAGAGCUACAGAAAGUGAGAGAAGAGGGAGCAGACUCACGAUAAUCAGCAGAAACUCUACAUCUCCCAGUAAGAGACAGAACGAGUAGAUGCUUCGGUUGCUGAUAGCUUUAGAGAGUCCAGUUCCAGGCUUUAUAGCGUCCAGUUCAAGCCUUUACAGCAUCCAGUUCCAGUCCUUACAGAGUCCAGUUCCAGGCUUUACAGCGUCCCGUUCCAAUCUCGCCUGUGAUCCCUUAUGCUCCACGAGCUGCUCCUCUUUCUUCUGAUAAAGUCUCGGUGCAGCUCCAGCUUAUUUAAGUGCGUUUCUAUUAUUAUAAACAAACCAAAAAAACUAUUACUUGGAACCAAUAAUCUCUGAUUUGGUUUCUAUUACUUUUCACCAAUAAUAAUCUGCAAUUUGUAGCCAACAGUUUUAUUAUGUGUACCUAAUUUUAAUUCCUUGCAACCAAACCACAACAGUAACAGCAAAUCAAAAGAAAACCCCCAGCUGCUGUGAUUAAGCUGGAAGGUCGCUGUGCCGGGACACUAAGAGGUCACAGGUUCAGCAUUGCUACGGUUGGCAGAAUUCUAAAGAUAUCCUCCCAGGCUUCCCAUCCUCCAGCCAUUCAACCAAACACUAAUCUAGAUACUGCUGUCAAAGGACCUUGCAGGUGCAGUUAAGGUUAUAAGUCACCUGACUUUUAGCUAAGAUUAUCCUGCAUUAUCUGAGUGGGGCCAGUGUAAUCACAUGAGCCCUUUAAAAGCAGCAGAAGGCAGAAGUGGAAGGAAGAGAGCCCAAGCAGGAGAAGGAUUCAGUGCACCAUUUCUGGCUUUGAAGAUGGAGUGGGCCACAAGCUAAGGAAUGUGGGUGGCCUCCAGAAGCUGAGAACAAUUCUAGACUGACAGCCAGCAAAGAAAUGAGGACCGCAGUACUACAAUCCUACGGAACUGAAUUUGGCCAACAACCCAAAUGAGCCUAGAUGUGGAUUCUCCAGAGAAGAGUCCAGGCUUGGGGUCAUGAGACCCAAAAGAGAGAACCCACUUGAGCCAUGGACACUGUGACCUAAUAAAUGGGUCUUGUUUUAAGUCAAUAUCUUUGUGGUAUUUAUUACUGCAGCGAUAGAAAACUAACGUAACUACCUUCUAGGGUACGUCCACACCAUCUUGGGAAUCCAAUUCCAUUCCCAUGCCUGACACAGCCCUCUCUAUCAUCUGGUUCAAAUCUCCUGCUUGUAAAGCAAACAAACAGAAAAAGAAAAGGAAAAACAACUUCAGAUCAAGCAUUCCAGUCCAUCCCUGGGACUUCUUCAUGUGAAUACAGCCUGCGUGUGCGCAUUAAUGAGAUUUUUUUCAAUCGAUAAAGUAACUGAUAUCCUUAACUGAAGGUCAGGAUCAUCCUGCUUCUGGUAAAUUCACCUCAUGGGGUUGGGAGUCUCCCAUUAUGGAAUUCGUAAUUAACCCUCCUCGCACGCAGAUUGGCAAUAUCACAAAAACAACCUUUCUCAGGGUAUUUUGGGAAUUAUAUUCCCAGUGAGAGAUGAGAAAUGCAGACCUACAUGGAACCGGAAAGGAUAUCAGGAGAAAACGAUUUGUUGAUUUUCGUGGGGCUGGAAAGGGAGAAAGAGGAUACAAGUUCUUGUCCUGGUUUGGGCAAGAGACUCCAGACGUUUGUUGUCUUCUCUGUCCUGGUUUUAGAGGACAAAGGGGGAAAAAGGACUCUUCUCUCAUUUCCAUAUCAGAACAUAUUUUUCCAGGUGUAGUGUAGUGGGUCAAAUGGUGGCCCCCCAAAAGAUAUGUCUAUGCCCUAACCCCUGGAAGGUGUGAAUGUGAUCUUAUUUAGAAAAAAGGUCUUUGGCAGAUGUAAUUAGGGUAAGGAUCUCGAGGUAUGAUCAUCCUGGAUUAUCUGGGUGGGCCCUAAAUCCAAAGACAAGUGUCUUUAUAAGUGACACACAUAGGAGAGACACACAGGGAGAGGAGGAGAGGGCCAUGUGAAGAUGGAGGCAGAGAGAGAAGAGAAGGAUGCAGCCACAGCCAAGAAACACCUGCAGCCCCCAGAAGAUGGAAGAGGUAAGGAAUGGAUUCUCCAUUAGAGACUCAGCAGGGAGCAUGGCCUCACUGACACCUUGAUUUUUGGAUUUCUGGUCUCCAAAGCCAUGAGAAUAGAUUUCUGUUGUUUUGAGCCACACAUUUUGUAAUUUGUUAUAGCAGCCACAAGAAACUGACACACACCGUAAUAGGAUUUGGGUCUUCUUUACAUUUUAGCCUACACUCUCCACUCCUUCUUUUUCUCUGACUUUCAGUUCUGUUUGGGAGAAGGCUAAAUGCUUUCUGAUCUUUUAAUUUGUACCUGUCCCUCAAAGCACACUGAUGCAAAAGUGAACAGCGAAAUAACAAGAACUAACGACAGAAUGAGAGAGCCGUCAUCAUUUUCAAAUGCUAGCAGCCCACUGAAAGGCUCAGUUGACAAUGGACUUGUGAGGGGGGACACCUGAGAGUCAGUGACACUUGUUACACCACUUAGGAGUCAUCCAUUUCAUCUUGCACAUUGGAGGUCCUGUCCUUUUUGACAGAAGGAGAUAAAAAGGGUGGAAGAUCAGGGGUGGAGGAAUGCCAUGGUUGAAUAUUCUUCUGUGUUUGAGUCAGGAGACACUGUCCAAGGUUUCUAGAACAGGAAAUAGAGAUUAAUAACUUUUCCUUUUGGUCAGGAAGAUUCACCCUGAGCUAACAUCCAUUGCCAAUCUUCCUUUCUUUUUUUUUUUGCUCAAGGAAGGUUAGCUCUGAGCCAACAUCUGUGCCAGUUUUCCUCUAUUUUGUAGGUAGGAUGCUUCCACAGCAUGGCCAAUGAGUGGAGUAGGUCUGCUCCUGGGAUCCGAACCUGCAAACCCGGGCCGCCAGAGCCGCUCUUUAGAAGACAGCUUGGUCUAGAACUGGGGAACUCAGGCCUCUGUCCCAGCUCAGCCACACAGCAUCUCUAGACGUGACCUAGGGGUCUUGCUCAGUGGGAAGGAGGCUGGGAAUGUAGCUAGUAAUGUGCCAGGAAGAAGAGGAAAACACGUACACUGGGGCUCACUAACAGUCUUAUCAGUCAUAUUUCUCUUAUUGCUCAAACCACAAUGACUAAGCCACAUCCUAGCCAUGUGGGUAGACAUUCCAUCUCAGACAUAGGGAAAAGUUUUAAAAAUCUGAAAGGAAGAGGUUCCUUAAUAGCUACUGGCAAGCUGAGUUCAUCCUGAGUGUUCUUUCUUUACGUGCAGAACUUUAAACACUCGUCCUUGGGGCCAGCCCUGAGAGAUUAAUAACUUUAUUUAAAUAGGGAAGGACUAAAAAUUAUUCUGUAGUCAUAAAAUAUUUAGAGAUAGAUGAGAAAGGAGUGCUUGUCUUUUGCAGAGGAGUCAAUAGAUAGUGUUAAGAGUUGCUACUCAAGAAAUAGAAGCAUAGGCUUAUAGUUCCACGUUACCGUGGCAACUUCCAGGAGGACCGAAGAUGGAAAUCACUAGAAAAUGGUCAGCUCUGGGAAGCGGCCCCAGGGAUGUGGAAGGGUCAUAGGAGAGAUGCUGCUUUUGCAAAUUCCCUUGUGUAUCAUUUAACAAUUUAUAUAUGCAUGUAUUAUUUUAAUUAAAUGUUUUGAAAUAAAAUAAUUCAUGAUAAAGCCCAUUUUCGAGGCAGAAGUUCAGGGAGAGUGAAG
rnacentral:lncRNA from 1 species